UAGGGAAUCUUCGGCAAUGGGGGCGAACCCUGACCGAGCAACGCCGCGUGAGUGAAGAAGGUUUUCGGAUCGUAAAGCCCUGUUGUAAGAGAAGAACGUGUGUGAGAGUGGAAAGUUCACACAGUGACGGUAACUUACCAGAAAGGGACGGCUAACUACGUGCCAG
rnacentral:rRNA from 1 species